rnacentral:rRNA from 1 species
GUGUCAGCAGCCGCGGUAAAACGUAGGUGGCGAGCGUUAUCCGGAUUUACUGGGCGUAAAGCGUGUGCAGGCGGGGAGAUAAGUGGUGUAUGAAAUCGCCCAGCUUAACUGGGCAAGGUUAUGCCAGACUGUCACUCUAGAGUGCGAGAGAGGGGCGUGGAAUUCCGGGUGUAGUGGUGAAAUGCGUAGAGAUCCGGAGGAACCCCAGAGGCGAAGGCGGCGCCCUGGCUCGCAACUGACGCUCAGACACGACAGCAUGGGGAGCGAACGGGAUUAGAAACCCCGGUAGUCCAUGCCGUAAACGAUGCCAACUAGGCGCUGUGGGUAUCAACCCCUGCGGUGCCGAAGCAAACGCGAUAAGUUGGCCGCCUGGGGAGUACGGCCGCAAGGCUAAAACUCAAAUGAAUUGACGG